UACAUGAAGCCGGAAUCGCUAGUAAUCGCGGAUCAGAAUGCCGCGGUGAAUACGUUCCCGGGUCUUGUACACACCGCCCGUCACACCAUGGGAGUCGGAAAUGCCCGAAGUCGGUGGCCCAACCGAGAGGGGGAGCUGCCGAAGGUGGAGCAGGUAACUGGGGUGAAGUCGUAACAAGGUAGC
rnacentral:rRNA from 1 species